rnacentral:rRNA from 1 species
ACGAACGCUGGCGGCGUGCUUAACACAUGCAAGUCGAACGGAAAGGCCUGCUUUCCCUUGUGGAUUGCGGGUGCUCGAGUGGCGAACGGGUGAGUAACACGUGAGUGAUCUGCCCCCAACUUGGGUAUAAGCCUGGGAAACUGGGUCUAAUUCCCGAUAGGACUGCAGGGUGGUGCCUGUGGUGGAAAACGAUUUUCUAGUGGUUGGGGAUGAGCUCGCGGCCUAUCAGCUUGUUGGUGGGGUAAUGGCCUACCAAGGCGGCGACGGGUAGCCGGCCUGAGAGGGUGGACGGCCACAUUGGGACUGAGAUGCGGCCCAGACUCCUACGGGAGGCAGCAGUGGGGAAUAUGGCACAAUGGGCGGAAGCCUGAUGCAGCGACGCCGCGUGGGGGAUGACGGCCUUCGGGCUGUAAACUCCUUUCGACCGCGAGGAAGCCACCUGGUUGGAAGGGUGGUGACGGUAGUGGUAGAAGAAGCACCGGCUAACUACGUG